UACGGAGGGUGCAAGCGUUUAAUCGGAAUUACUGGGCGUAAAGCGUGCGUAGGCGGUUCGUUAAGUCUGCUGUGAAAGCCCCGGGCUCAACCUGGGAAUGGCAGUGGAUACUGGCGAGCUAGAGUGUGAUAGAGGAUGGUGGAAUUCCCGGUGUAGCGGUGAAAUGCGUAGAGAUCGGGAGGAAACAUCAGUGGCGAAGGCGGCCAUCUGGAUCAACACUGACGCUGAGGCACGAAAGCGUGGGGAGCAAACAGG
rnacentral:rRNA from 1 species